rnacentral:lncRNA from 1 species
GGGCGAAGUCGUGGAAGGUGAAGAUUCCAUCUCUCUCCACACUCUGAGGAGAGACCAGCCGGGAAGAGUGGCUAGCCAUGACCGUGUUCUCCGGAUCCAGGCAUCUGACACAGUCAUUGGACAAACAUCGGGAUUAAGAAAACAAACACUGCAAAUUCUGAGAAAAUUGGGGAAGGAUGUGUUCUCAGAACCUGCUUGGGUGGCUGUUACCAGGAGAACAUGGCAAGAGGACAUUAGAAUCGUUCUUAGAAUCCAAAGUGCCGGCAACAACCAAAUCAGUAAGAUUUGUAUAAUAUUGUGUGGACACUCACUUUAAAAUAGUUACCUGGAAGACUUGAACUACAAAUCUCCUUUUCACUUACUUAGAUUACCCGAUAAAUAAAUAGUUGGCAAUUUUGCCUCUUCU